AUGAACGCUGGCGGCGUGCCUAAUACAUGCAAGUCGAGCGAACAGACGAGGAGCUUGCUCCUCUGACGUUAGCGGCGGACGGGUGAGUAACACGUGGAUAACCUACCUAUAAGACUGGGAUAACUUCGGGAAACCGGAGCUAAUACCGGAUAAUAUAUUGAACCGCGUGGUUCAAUAGUGAAAGACGGUUUUGCUGUCACUUAUAGAUGGAUCCGUGCCGCAUUAGCUAGUUGGUAAGGUAACGGCUUACCAAGGCGACGAUGCGUAGCCGACCUGAGAGGGUGAUCGGCCACACUGGAACUGAGACACGGUCCAGACUCCUACGGGAGGCAGCAGUAGGGAAUCUUCCGCAAUGGGCGAAAGCCUGACGGAGCAACGCCGCGUGAGUGAUGAAGGUCUUCGGAUCGUAAAACUCUGUUAUUAGGAAAGAACAAAUGUGUAAGUAACUAUGCACGUCUUGACGGUACCUAAUCAGAAAGCCACGGCUAACUACGUG
rnacentral:rRNA from 1 species